rnacentral:rRNA from 1 species
AUUGAACGCUGGCGGCAUGCCUUACACAUGCAAGUCGAACGGUAACAGGUCUUCGGAUGCUGACGAGUGGCGAACGGGUGAGUAAUACAUCGGAACGUGCCUAGUAGUGGGGGAUAACUACUCGAAAGAGUGGCUAAUACCGCAUGAGAUCUACGGAUGAAAGCAGGGGACCGCAAGACCUUGUGCUACUAGAGCGGCCGAUGGCAGAUUAGGUAGUUGGUGGGAUAAAAGCUUACCAAGCCGACGAUCUGUAGCUGGUCUGAGAGGACGAUCAGCCACACUGGGACUGAGACACGGCCCAGACUCCUACGGGAGGCAGCAGUGGGGAAUUUUGGACAAUGGGCGAAAGCCUGAUCCAGCAAUGCCGCGUGCAGGAUGAAGGCCUUCGGGUUGUAAACUGCUUUUGUACGGAACGAGAAGCCCCGGGUUAAUACCCUGGGGUCAUGACGGUACCGUAAGAAUAAGCACCGGCUAAUUACGUGCCAGCCGCCGCCGUAA